rnacentral:rRNA from 1 species
GAGUUUGAUCCUGGCUCAGAGCGAACGCUGGCGGCAGGCUUAACACAUGCAAGUCGAGCGGACGUAGCAAUACGUCAGCGGCAGACGGGAGAGUAACACGUGGGAACGCGCCCUUCGGUUCGGAAUAACUCAGGGAAACUUGAGCUAAUACCGGAUACGCCCUUACGGGGAAAGAUUUAUUGCCGAAGGAACGGCCCGCGUCUGAUUAGCUAGUUGGUGAGGUAAUGGCUCACCAAGGCGACGAUCAGUAGCUGGUCUGAGAGGAUGACCAGCCUCACUGGGACUGAGACACGGCCCAGACUCCUACGGGAGGCAGCAGUGGGGAAUAUUGGACAAUGGGCGCAAGCCUGAUCCAGCCAUGCCGCGUGGAUGAUGAAGGCCUUAGGGUUGUAAAGUCCUUUUAACGGGGAAGAUAAUGACGGUACCCGUAGAAUAAGCCCCGGCUAACUUCGUGCCAGCCGCCGCAGUAAG